rnacentral:ncRNA from 1 species
CGGUCUUGAAAACCGAAGUAUUGAUAGGAAUACCGGGGGUUCGAAUGCCCGAUCCAGCAAUAUCGCGUGAGUGAAGAAGGGCAAUGCCGCUUGUAAAGCUCUUUUGUCGAGUGCGCGAUCAUGACAGGACUCGAGGAAGAAGCCCCGGCUAACUCCGUGCCAACAGCCGCGGUAAGACCGGGGGGGGGGCAAGUGUUCUUCGGAAUGACUAGGCGUAAAGGGCACGUAGGCGGUGAAUCGGGUUGAAAGUGAAAGUCGCCAAAAAGUGGCGGAAUGCUGGCGGCAUAGGAACCACGGGAACCUAGGAGGGAGAAAGACGAUGUACGGUAUAUGGGAUCCUCGUAGUAGGCUGGACCAAAAUCCAGCCGAGAGAGGGCAGCCUUUAGAAGCAACAGGUGGGGAAACCAAGAGAAGGCUUCGCCUUUUCUUAUCUUCUUC